rnacentral:SRP_RNA from 12 species
GUGUGUCAGGCGCAGUCUGUGCUACCCACUUCGGCGUCAUUGGGGGUUGGCGCUGACGGUGCUCGAAGACGUGGGUUGUUUGCUGCGUUUGGGUCGCGAGGCAGUGCUGCGCGCUUUGCUGGAGGUGCGUGGAUUGGUGCAGGCUGGAGUAGAGCAUGGCU